AUACGUAGGGGGCGAGCGUUGUCCGGAAUUACUGGGCGUAAAGGGUGCGUAGGUGGCACUUUAAGUUGGAUGUGAAAUCCCCGUGCUUAACAUGGGAGCUGCAUCCAAUACUGGAGAGCUAGAGUGCAGGAGAGGUAAGCGGAAUUCCUAGUGUAGCGGUGAAAUGCGUAGAUAUUAGGAGGAUCACCAGUGGCGAAGGCGGCUUACUUGACUGUAACUGACACUGAGGCUCGAUAGCGUGGUGAGCAAACAGGAUUAGAUACCCUGGUAGUCCACGCUGUAAACGAUGAAUACGAGGUGUAGGGGGUAUCAACUCCCUCUGUGCCGCAGCAAACGCAAUAAGUAUUCCGCCUGGGGAGAUCGGCCGCAAGGUUGAUGCUGACAUGAAUUGACGGGG
rnacentral:rRNA from 1 species